UACAGACCAAGUUAAUAAGAGCUAUUGGUGGAUGCCUUGGCAUUGACAGGCGAAGAAGGAUGUGAUUACCUGCAGAAAGCUUCGGUGAGCUGGUAAUAAGCAGAGACCCGGAGAUAUCCGAAUGGGGAAACCCAGUAGAUUAAAGAUCUACUAUCAUACACUGAAUCCAUAGGUGUAUGAGGCGACACCCGCCGAACUGAAACAUCUUAGUAAGCGGAGGAAAAGAAAUCAACGAGAUUCCCUAUGUAGCGGCGAGCGAAAGGGGAAGAGCCCAAAUCAUAUUGAUAGUAAUAUGAGGUUGUAGGGCCAGAUCAUAAGAGAAUGGAAGUUUUAGCUGAACACUGUUGGAAAACAGGACGAUACAGGGUGAUAGUCCCGUAAGCGAAAAGACGGAAGACUCGAUUUGGUACCUGAGUAGGACUAGACACGGGAAACCUAGUCUGAAUCUAGGGAGACCACUCUCUAAAGCUAAAUACUAGUCAAUGACCUAUAGCGAACCAGUACUGCGAAGGAAAGGUGAAAAGAACCCUUGUUAAGGGAGUGAAAUAGAACCUGAAACCAAUAGCUUAUAAGCGGUCGGAGGCCUAUUUAUGUCUC
rnacentral:rRNA from 1 species